CUGGCGGCAUGCCUUACACAUGCAAGUCGAACGGCAGCACGGGAGCAAUCCUGGUGGCCUAGUGGCGAACGGGUGAGUAAUACAUCGGAACGUGCCCAAUCGUGGGGGAUAACGCAGCGAAAGCUGUGCUAAUACCGCAUAAGAUCUACGGAUGAAAGCAGGGGACUCGCAAGAGCCUUGCGCGAAUGGAGCGGCUGAUGGCAGAUUAGGUAGUUGGUGAGGUAAAGGCUCACCAAGCCUUCGAUCUGUAGCUGGUCUGAGAGGACGACCAGCCACACUGGGACUGAGACACGGCCCAGACUCCUACGGGAGGCAGCAGUGGGGAAUUUUGGACAAUGGGCGCAAGCCUGAUCCAGCCAUGCCGCGUGCAGGAUGAAGGCCUUCGGGUUGUAAACUGCUUUUGUACGGAACGAAAAGGUUCUUUCUAAUAAAGAGGGCUCAUGACGGUACCGUAAGAAUAAGCACCGGCUAACUACGUGCCAGCAGCCGCGGUAAUACGUAGGGUGCGAGCGUUAAUCGGAAUUACUGGGCGUAAAGCGUGCGCAGGCGGUGAUGUAAGACAGUUGUGAAAUCCCCGGGCUCACCUGGGAACUGCAUCUGUGACUGCAUCGCUGGAGUGCGGCAGAAGGGGAUGGAAUUCCCCGUGUAGCAGUGAAAUGCGUAAAUAUGCGAAGGAACACCGAUGGGGAAGGCAAUCCCCUGGG
rnacentral:rRNA from 1 species